rnacentral:rRNA from 1 species
GUUUAUGGUCAUGCCACCCUGAAUAAGCCCAAUCCUGUCUGAUCUCAGAAGUUAAGCAGGAUCGGGCCUGUUUAGUACUUGGAUGGGAGACCACCUAGGAAGACCAGGUGCUGUAGGCG